AAAAAGUUUCUGUUUUAAAUUUAGAUCAUCACAUUGAUGAAAUAUGUACACAUGAAAACAUUUUUUUUUCACGUGAUGUUUCAUUUUAGAACAGAUUUACUCCCGCUGAAUGAUAAUGGACAACAAAAUGUAAAUAUAGUCAAGAGAUACAAGAUGAGAUUUCAUUCAACUGACAAAUUCUGCGAAAGAAUGUUUGACACCUAUUUUUUGAUAUUUGGUAUUCAAAGCUUGUAAUUUAAUAUUCUAAGCUCAGUACUCAGCAUUUGAUACUUAAUAUCUACAAUUUAAUAUCUACAAUUUAUUUAAUAAUUUAACGCUUGGUAUUCAUUAACCAGAACUUAAUAUCGCUUAGAACAGUGUAUUUAACUCACAAUAUUUUACAUUUCUUUCUUAGCAUUCAUAUUUACUAAUAUUCACUAUUACGUUCUCAACACGUAUUCAAACUUUAUCUGCUAUCCUCGCAAAGUACAAUGCAUAUUACUAAAACCUUAUUAUGCCUUGCCCAAGAAAUCAAAUCUGUGCUAGACGAUCAUCCAUUAGAGCAAAGGUCCUCAACUUGGUGUACAAGUUCCCUGGUAGUAUCCGGGAAAGUUUUUGAGGCACACCAUAGCCGCCAUUAAUUGCUUAUUACAAUGUUCAUGAUUUUAUAAGAGUGGACAAAUUUGAAGAUAUGAACGACAGAUGACACUGUCGCAUACAUACAUACAGAAAAAUAAGGAAAAAGAUAAGAAGCAGAAAGGAAAGAAUAAAAAACAGAACUAACAAUGCAAUUAUGACGGACACGCAAUAGCGGGCAACCAAUCGGAUAACGAGCACGAGUACAGGGGC